CUCGCCACCGCCACUCCUCUUCCUCGGGAUCCAACCCGCAUCCACUCUCUCCGUCCCUCGUUUUCAGCACCAGGCCAACCAGCACCCCCCCUUCGACCCACCUCGCUCGAUUCCCCCCGCUCGCGCCGAUCGAGCCCCUAUCUAGGAGCUCCCACACCAACCCAGCACCGGCCUCCCGUGCUCGACCUCAUCCCCAACCUCGCAAGCCUCCUCGAUCCUCUCCUGAGCAGGUGCUCUCCCAGAGCCCCGCGUCCCCGCCUCCGUUCGGCCAGCCACGUCGUCGGCGCACCCAGCAGAUGAGAGCCGUCCCUACUGCUUUUCCUUCUUCCCCUGCUCCUCCCGCCUCCGCUAACCUCUCUCUCCCUCGUUUUUCCUUUCACCGAGCAGGAGCGCCAUGGAUGGCCGCCCGUGGAUGUCCCCUCCUGCUGUUUUCCCUUCGUCGCCGGAGCUCCCGCAAGCAGACCCGCCGUCUCUAGGCCAUCCCCGUCCUCUGCAUCGCCAUGGACGCCCACCCGGAGCUCCACGCCCCGCCUUCCCCCACCUCGCUCGUGACCUCCGCUACACCGAAUCCGGCAGGAUUCCAUCGCAGCGCCAAGUCCCUUGCCUCGCUGCUUCUUUGCCCCUUGUCACUGGAGACCCCGCACAAGUCCCUGCUACCGGAGCCUUGCCAAGUCCCGCGCCAAGUCAGCACGGCGCCGUCGCCUGCUUCUGUCAUGCAAGCACGCAAGGACGAGGCCAGCGCCAAGUCCCACUCCUUCCCCCUGCCUCGACCGCGUUGACCUCGGUCCUCGUUUCGAUCUGGAGGCAGCAGUCAACUGCGUCGCUAGCCACCGCCAGCGCCAAGGCCCAGCUCGCCUCGCCUCGCCUCAGUCUAUCUCCACGCGCAGCUCAAACCGGCCCAAGCCACAUCCGCAGCCCAUCCCCACCGACCGGCCUCGCUGGGCCGCAAGUUUCGAUAAUGUUGCGAUUGUGAGGAUUCGUUCGACUACGUCCGUUCGUCUUCUUCAUGGACUCAUUCUUCUUCCUAGCGGGAUUUCAGUUGCAGGUACAGGUAAUGCAAUGAUCUGAUGCGAGUGUGAUGCUUGCUUGCUUUUGGAGUUCUACUUCUUCUUUGAUCAAGGGAUAGGUUCUGGGUCGGGAGAACCUGGGAUUAGCAGGGUGGAUGUCAUUCUUCUUUUUCGUUUGAUUUCAUCCGUAGUCGGAUCCUGCUCUUCUGUAUGGUGAUU
rnacentral:rRNA from 1 species